rnacentral:rRNA from 1 species
ACGGGUGGUAAUGCCGGAUGCUCCAGUUGGAUGCAUGUCCUUCUGGGAAAGAUUCAUCGGUAUGGGAUGGGGUCGCGUCCUAUCAGCUUGAUGGCGGGGUAACGGCCCACCAUGGCUUCGACGGGUAGCCGGCCUGAGAGGGCGACCGGCCACAUUGGGACUGAGAUACGGCCCAGACUCCUACGGGAGGCAGCAGUGGGGAAUAUUGCACAAUGGGCGCAAGCCUGAUGCAGCGACGCCGCGUGCGGGAUGACGGCCUUCGGGUUGUAAACCGCUUUUGACUGGGAGCAAGCCCUUCGGGGUGAGUGUACCUUUCGAAUAAGCACCGGCUAACUACGUGCCAGCAGCCGCGGUAAUACGUAGGGUGCAAGCGUUAUCCGGAAUUAUUGGGCGUAAAGGGCUCGUAGGCGGUUCGUCGCGUCCGGUGUGAAAGUCCAUCGCUUAACGGUGGAUCCGCGCCGGGUACGGGCGGGCUUGAGUGCGGUAGGGGAGACUGGAAUUCCCGGUGUAACGGUGGAAUGUGUAGAUAUCGGAAAAAAAACACCA